AGUCGUGAGUGCCUCAGUGCCUCGUCGGCUGUCGUUAGUGAUGGUGGUACACUCGAACGUCCCGUUGACCCCGUUGCCUUUCCCCUCGCCUCUGUGGCACUCUUGCUGAGUGCCAUGGGAACCUUGGAAAUUGCAAAUCAAAUCAUCGAAGUGCGUCGUCUUUGUCUUAUCGGACGAGUCUGUCUUUCCCUCGUGUGCAGAGCCCCUAGGUUGAUUUUAAUAUUCAUCGCUUCGUGGAAUAACUAGCGAUGCGAUUUUAUUAUUAGGGCUGAUGAAUAAAGAGAGACGUAUUGACAGUGCUAUAAAUGCGGUCCAUUAGUGCGGGUGCUUUUGCUAGUGAAAAUUGAUAAAAGAAAAAAAUUAAAAACCUUGUGCUUGUGUGUGUGUGUGUGUGGGCAGAUACGUUGUCGAAUCCUGCCAUCAUGUGUAAGACGUGUGUCUGUUGGUGCAUCUAAUCAGAUGUUUUGUGCAAAACAAAUCCAGUCAGGGAAUCGUCCGACCUGUGGUCCAGUCUGGUGAAAUAUCACACGGUGGCAGGAAAAGAAAAAUAAAAAGAAAAAGAUAAAACUGUUGAUUCCUGAAACUUGAUUUCGUACUCUUCGAAUUCUUGGGAGAUUUUUGUGAUACAUUGAUCUCGUGCAAAUAGAACUUAUUGGUGCUUAUGACUUCGAAAUGCCAUUAAUACAUUAUUACUUUAUUUAAAGAAAAACUUCAUUUGUGGACAUCAUCAGGAAUACGUUCAUACGUUAUGUUUUGAUUGUCACGUAAUGGAAAUUUUAAAACGAGAGAGUGCAACUUCUGUGAAUAAAAUUCUGGACGCUUGACAAUCCAUGGCGGUUCUCAAAAAAGUCGAAAAAGCAAAAUUAACAUUGCAGUUCUGAUGGACUUUAAUAAACCUAUUUGAAAUUCGUGGAAUGAUGUAUUUAAUUAUGAAAAUGAAAUGUGUGCCCCUGCGGCUGUAGUAGGACGGGAAUAGUUCCGAGCCGGUAAAACAAAGAACAACUAAAUAACACCUUUUAAGGUGGGACAGGUGCGUCAGGUACUGCUGUACACUUGUGAUCGCUGUGUUAUUUGUAUCGAUGGACUGUCGUGUCUCUCUGUUGCCGUACGCUCCAACCCUACGCCACAACAAAAAUCCUAUUAAUUCUAUAUUUAGCGAAAUUGACCGAGAACGAUUCAGUAAAUCCCCUGAUGCGUAUACACUGAUGAGUAACUGAAAGUAUUGUGAAGAACUAUUUCUCGCUAUUGAUUAUUUGUUUAUACUGAACUCGGGAACAGAACGCAAAACUGUUUGUGAGAGAAUAACAAAAACCCAAGGAAAGAAUAAGGCCUGAGCUAGUCAUUGGUGUCUAACGAGUGACUGUAUUUGAACUGCUGGAUAGGUCUGUCAUUUCCACGCCCUCAGGUUGUCCAAGGCGGAGGUGUACCUGUGUCAUAGAAAGGAUACUGUUUCGUCUUAUAGACAGCUCAGUGCCAUGACC